rnacentral:lncRNA from 1 species
UGUUACUGUUACCUGCAAGCCUGUCUACACAGUGCAUGGACACUUCGACCCGCCUUACUACUCGGCCCGAAACCGGAUUUGUCCGCUCGGUGAAUGGAUCUACAGCUAGUAGACAAUGCACGAUCUCGGUAUUUGGUAUUUUGCAUUAUUCCACGGCAGCAAAACAAAAGCAGUCUUCUCAUCGCUGGUCCCAACACAAAAAGCAUUUUAACUAAACUUUUCCCACCCUCCCCCGGCCCUAAAAAAAAAGAAAAGAAAAGAAAAAGAAACUUGGGGGUGUGUGUGCGUGGAUAGUGCACACACUACUCAAGAUAAGUGAUUUCCCAUUGAGUUUGCAGCUCGGCGUUCAAUGCGUAGUAACUUUCCCUACCGAGGUUCACUGCGCAAUUCGGCUUUAAGGCUGGCAGCCGACUGCAGCCUGCAGGCCUUUGCCGCAAACGCGGGGAGCGGCCAGUCCCCAGCUGGGUUCCCUGCAGAGCGCCUCUUCCCCGCCCCCUCCCCGGGCGGCACCCGCGCUCGGCUUCGCGAACGUGAAGUCAGCGCGCCCUCUGCCGGCCGGCGCCUGCCCGGGCGGGGCGGUGGGGGCAGGGCGCCCGGAGCCCGCGCCGGGAGGCCUCCAGCCACCCCCCAUCCCCCCCGUGGGGGUCCUUUCGCGCCCACCCGCGGAGGGCCCGGGCCGGGAGGAGGCCGAGCGAGUGGAGGGAAAGUGCUUUCAGAGGCGUGCACUCCACCGCACGGGAGGCGGAGGAGGCUAAACCCGGCUGUCCUCGCAAGUGAACUUCGUCCUGAGGGGAAGCAGCGCUCUUCAUGGGACACGUGCGAGAGUCCACAGGUACACGCACGAAAACAAGCCUUCCAGCAAAACCUGGAAGCCGCGCCCCCAGCUGUGCGGCCCACGCGUCUGAGAAAAGCUGCCACUUCCCGAAGGCCGGCUCUGCGAGCCCCACCGACGCUGACGUUGUUGGGGGAGCAAGAGGCCCCGCGCUUGGAAUGUUAUUACCUACUUCAGUCCUUACUCAAGGAUUCCAUGAGGGGAUGUGUUGUGAGGUCGGCGCCCUGCUCCUUGGUGGGUGUCUGGUGGCGGAUGCACGUUACAGAGGGCAACGCUGAGCUGGCGACUCUGCUUAUCAUUUUGUGCCUCAGAACUACGUGGCCGUCGCCGCACCGUAGACUCCUGCUGUGCCCGUCGUCCAAACGCGCUUGCACCUGCUGUGCCUUCAGUGUGCCUAGCCUGCUGCCCGUGGGCCACACUGGAAUCUGCAGCCUAGCAGCAGCUCUGCAGGGUGGGAUAUGGGGGAGGGAGCAGACGUUGGAAACCGGCCAGGGGACUUCACAGGCCCAACAAAGAAUUUUUUAA